GUGUGGCUGUCGUAAAAACCCUAUUUGUAAACAACCAGCCCUUUAACUCGGGGCUGCGUCAUAAGCACGGCGCGCUUGGAAGACCACGAUGUCAUCUUCCUUCUGUCAGGAGGAUCCAAGUGAAGCUACAGGAGUUUCAUUAACGUCAACAACUUGGACCAAACAGUUUGUUUUGCUUGAUGAAGAGCAGGAAGGGCAGCCUGGAGAGAAAGAGAAGCCGGGUUGAGCCCACUACCAUCAUCCACGUACCACGAGGAAGAUGAGGGAGAGAAAUGAUCCUACCAUUAAAGAGACUGUGAAAAGAACGUUGAGAACAUCACCACUCUACAGGAAGACACAGUCCAGUAAUGGGUGUCAGAAGUUCAGUAGUGAACGACAGAAACAAACAAUCCAAAUUACCUGCAGAAAGCCCUUGAUGGACGCUUCAGCUGCAUCGUCAGACUGGCAGUACUGAUGCAUUUACUGAGACGGGACGUGAGGGCCUACUCUGCGUGCUCAGAGUUCAAGCCCAGCAGGCUGCAGCGGGCCUGACAUAUUCUGGAACAGCAGCACAGUCUUUGGAUGACUCCUCUGAAGAUGAAAACAUGGCGAGUUCUUCUCAAGAGAAGCAGUACAGGUGUGCCUCAGCUCCACGGUCCCUCCUGCAGCCUCCGCUCCUGAUGCUAACCUCAUGUCUCCAUCACACCAAGCAGCAGACCUGGAUUGACAGACCUUUCUCCAGAGCUGCCCCCUCCCUCUGAAACCCCCCUCUCCAAAACACUAUUUGUGUAGUUUUUAAAGUAUUUUUUGCAUGAGAAUUGUUGAUCAUAACAUUUCCAGCAGAUGCCUUAAUAUAAUGUUUGUGCACAAUA